rnacentral:rRNA from 1 species
GAUGAACGCUGGCGGCGUGCUUAACACAUGCAAGUCGAACGAAGCACUUUAUUUGAUUUCCUUCGGGACUGAUUAUUUUGUGACUGAGUGGCGGACGGGUGAGUAACGCGUGGGUAACCUGCCUUGUACAGGGGGAUAACAGUUGGAAACGGCUGCUAAUACCGCAUAAGCGCACAGCAUCGCAUGAUGCAGUGUGAAAAACUCCGGUGGUAUAAGAUGGACCCGCGUUGGAUUAGCUAGUUGGUGAGGUAACGGCCCACCAAGGCGACGAUCCAUAGCCGACCUGAGAGGGUGACCGGCCACAUUGGGACUGAGACACGGCCCAAACUCCUACGGGAGGCAGCAGUGGGGGAAUAUUGCACAAUGGGGCGAAAGCCUGAUGCAGCGACGCCGCGGAAGCGAAGAAGUAUUUCGGUAUGUAAAGCUCUAUCAGCAGGGAAGAUAAUGACGGUACCUGAUUAAGAAGCACCGGCUAAAUACGUGCCAGCAGCCGCGGUAAUACGUAUGGUGCAAGCGUUAUCCGGAUUUACUGGGUGUAAAGGGAGCGCAGGCGGUGCGGCAAGUCUGAUGUGAAAGCCCGGGGCUCAACCCCGGUACUGCAUUGGAAACUGUCGUACUAGAGUGUCGGAGGGGUAAGCGGAAUUCCUAGUGUAGCGGUGAAAUGCGUAGAUAUUAGGAGGAACACCAGUGGCGAAGGCGGCUUACUGGACGAUAACUGACGCUGAGGCUCGAAAGCGUGGGGAGCAAACAGGAUUAGAUACCCUGGUAGUCCACG